AGAGGUGGUGCAUGGCCGUCGUCAGUUCGUACCGUAAGGCGUUCUGUUAAGUCAGAUAACGAACGAGACCCUCGUCCUUAAUUGCCAACCCAUUCUCCGGAGUGGGCGCACAUUAAGGGGACCGCUGGCGCUAAGUCAGAGGAAGGAGAGGUCAACGGUAGGUCAGUAUGCCCCGAAUCUCCCGGGCUACACGCGCGCUACAAAGGACAGGACAAUGGGAUGCAAUACCGAGAGGUAACGCCAACCCCGAAACCUGUUCGUAGUUCGGACUGAGGGCUGUAACUCGCCCUCACGAAGCUGGAUUCCGUAGUAAUCGCGGGUCAACAUCCCGCGGUGAAUAUGCCCCUGCUCUUU
rnacentral:rRNA from 1 species